rnacentral:rRNA from 1 species
UACGUAGGGUGCAAGCGUUAAUCGGAAUUACUGGGCGUAAAGCGUGCGCAGGCGGUUUUGUAAGUCUGUCGUGAAAGCCCCGGGCUCAACCUGGGAAUUGCGAUGGAGACUGCAAGGCUUGAAUCUGGCAGAGGGGGGUAGAAUUCCACGUGUAGCAGUGAAAUGCGUAGAGAUGUGGAGGAACACCGAUGGCGAAGGCAGCCCCCUGGGUUAAGAUUGAAGCUCAUGCACGAAAGCGUGGGGAGCAAACAGG